GUGGCUGCAAAUUGUAGACCAACUAGUAUUUAAGCUAGUCUCGUCAUCACCAAUAUCUCAUCAAUACAAGCUUCUAACUCUCCACAUAUAUUUGCGAUAAAAAAAAAAAUCAACUGUAAGAUGGAAGGCAAAACUUUGAUUGUAAGUGUGCUCGUUAUGAGUCUGUUCAUGGCACAUAUUCAAGUUGAUGCAAAGAGCUGCUGUUCCAGUGCUAGAAAUGUCUAUAAUGUAUGUCGUGCAGCGGGAAGUUCCAGGCCAGCUUGUGCACUUCUCAGAAGGUUAUCGAUCUCUAGAUUCCUGCGAUAAAAACCCGACCCGAAUAUACCGACCCGUUCCGAACCGAAAAUUUCGGUUUCGGGUUGGCUUCGGUUAGGAGAGUUGAACCGAUCGGAAACUAUAUAAAUUUGAUCGGUUACCCGAGUUUUUUCGGUUCGGUUCGGGUAACCGAGAUCUUCAUCUUCCUUCUCUUCUUUCACCGGAUCGGCUGAGACUCUAAGUUUUUAUCGGCGGCCGUCAAUGUUUUUAGUUGAUUUUAGGGUUUGUAAAAGGUUGAAGAUGAUGUAAAAGACAACGUUUUAUUAAAAACACAAACGAUUUAUUUUU